UCUGGUGUACCAGUUGUCGUGCCAACGGCAUAGCUGGGUAGCUAUGUGUGGACGGGAUAAGUGCUGAAAGCAUCUAAGCAUGAAGCCCCCCUCAAGAUGAGAUUUCCCAACUUCGGUUAUAAGAUCCCUCAAAGAUGAUGAGGUUAAUAGGUUCGAGGUGGAAGCAUGGUGACAUGUGGAGCUGACGAAUACUAAUCGAUCGAAGACUUAAUCAA
rnacentral:rRNA from 1 species